AUUGACCCACAUGGAAGGGUUUAAGCCAGCACUCUCAAAGCAAAGCCAAGCCAAGCCAAGAGUACUCUUUGUCUCCUGUGUUUGUAGUCUCUUCCUCUGCUUAUUUCACUCCUCUCAUUCUCUACUCUUUUCUUCUUUCCAUUGCAGAAUUAAAUUUGAGACAGUAGGCAUAUAGCAUGGCAGGAUCAAUGGAGGCGGAGCAGAUGGGAUCUGGAUUCAAAUCAACGGAGGAGCAACUCGUUGGUCAUUUCUUGAAAAAGAAGCUCAAAGGAGAAAUGGAAGCUAGCGCUAUUCCCGAGCUAUACAUCUACGACUGGAGCCUCCGGAUUUACUUAUGCUAUACGAUGUGAAUCGUCGGAUGAACGCGAGUGUUUCCUCUUUUGUCCCGUGGUCGUACGAGGAAGACCCAGUUGGGAUAUUGGAAAGAGACGAGUAAAAAGCGUGUUAUCCGAGCACCGGACACCAGUAAGCCGAUGGGGACCAAGAGGAUUUUGGUUUACUAUGAAGGUCGACAACCAAAGGGCCGCAGGACUGAUGUGGCCAUGCACGAAUAUCACCUAAAUUCAGAUGAUUCGGACAGUAAAAUUUCGGACCCGGUACUCGAUUUCUCUUCUUUUGGUUCCCCUAAUUGAGCAUCUUUAACAUGGUUACUAGUGCAGGUAAAAUUGAUUUCACAUCUAUAGAUAUGUUCCUCAUUCAGCUUGUUGAGGUUUCUGGCUUUGUGAGUUCAUGAUUGUGCCAUAAUUCUAGUGCGAUUUACCUUUAACUCUGCUGUACUUUGAACAUUAGUUUUCGCAAGUCAGAACUUCUCCACUGUAUUUUGUACAGAAACGAAACUGACCAAUAAUCAUUUUAAGGUUAAAUUCCAGUGACUACUGAGGGUUAGACUGCCAAAUAUAAAGUGAUUCUCCAUCAACAAAGGGGGCAAUUUGUUCUUGAAAUUUAAAUUACUUCAGUUUUGAUAAGUGAUGCGUGAUGUAUCUCAUGCAUAAUAUACUUUUCGUGCAACGAUGGAGUUUCGGUUGUCUUAACUGUGAAACUCAUCACCGGUAUCAUUUUCUUUAUAGACGGCAAUGGUCCUCUGUCGCAUAAUAAACAGGAAAAGUAAGGAAGCAAAGUCGGCAACUGCCAGUGCUUCAACCGAUUUAAGCAGCCAUCUGAGUAGUGCGCAGUUUUUUUUUUUGCUCAGGCAAUUCCAGGAGUUACUACUGAAUCUGACUAUCCAACUGAGACGUUGAAUACUGGUUUACACAACCGGAACGUGCCUAUUCCUGAUCAGCAGCCUCAAAUGGGCAAAGAGCAACCUUCGUGUUGUGGUGAUAAUUGGCAUGUUGAUGGACCUAGCGAUGGCCGUUGUCACAUACCAAAUUCUCCCAGUGACGGCAUCAGUAUCACGGAUUUCUUGAACUCUGAUGCAAACAGCGAGCAAACUCAAACAUGCAAAGAGAAACAUUUACUGUAUGAUGAUAAUCAGCAUGUUGACGGACCUAGCGAUCCAAGUUACGGUAAUGGUCUGGAGGAUCUCUUCAACUAGAGCAAGGAUUAGUAUGCCAAACUACAGUGUGUAGAUUAUGCUCUACAGAUUAGUUUUGAAUUGUGAUAAUGGAUUGCCAGCGUCUGGUGAUCCUUUAUAGAUGUUAAUCUCAGCCUGGCUUGUUAUAUCAGUGAUAAUGCUGGGCACCAACUAUGCUUCUCCAAGGAUGGGACAUUAUAUCAAUCUUGUAUGCUUGUAUAUUGUAUAAUUAAUUUUUCCUCACAA